rnacentral:rRNA from 1 species
UGUUAUUAGAUAAUAUUAAAGAUAAAGAAAGUUUUGUUACUGUACCUUUUGUACCAGGGGAGUUUAAGAGAAAAUAGAGUGAGUAAUCGAGUGGUACGGAACUUUUUAUUAGAAAUAUAGUUGAAUUUAUAUUAAUAAUUUUUUAUGGGGUGAUAAGUGUACGGCGUAUUUGAUAUCUAUUUGUUUUUUUUUAGAAAAGGUUAAGCUUUUCUAGCUCUAUAUAUUUGGUUUAGUAUAAAGAGAACAAGGCUUUAAAUUAGCUGUGUUAGUCGAUUGUUUUAAAUAAUUCUUAUAGAUUUUAAUACAAGUAGAUUUUAAAGACUAAUUUUGGCACCAGUUUUCUAGUCUAGUAAUGAGUUUAUUGAAUAUUUAAGGGAAAUGUUAAGUUACUCAAUUUAAAUUAGAAGGUUUAACAAAAACAUUUUUAUUUGGCUAAAGGAAGUAGGGCCUGCCCAGUGAGUAUUAAACGGCUGCGGUAUUUUGACUGUGCUAAGGUAGCAUAAUCAUUUGUUUCUUAAUUGGUAGCUGGAAUGAACGGUUGAACUAGUUUAAGAAGUGUGUAUAUUUUUUACAGAAAGUUAAAGUCAAGGUAAGAAUUCUUUGAUUAUUUAGGGGACGAUAAGACCCUAUAAGCUUGAUAAGUAUAAUGGUGGCUUUGUUUUUCAAGUUAAUUUAUUUUACUGGGGCGGUGCUUAUAUUUUAACUAUUAGUUUAAUUAGGAUCCUUAAUAUAUAGACGAAACGGAGAAGUUACUUUAGGGAUAACAGCGCAAUAUUUUUGGAGAGAUCUUAUCGAUAAAUAUGUUUGCGACCUCGAUGUUGAAUUAAAAUUUCUACGCGAAGCAGAAGGUGCAGUAGAGGGUUUGUUCAACCUUUAAAUUUUUACAUGAUUUGAGUUCAAAUCGGUUUAAGCCAGAUUGGAUUUUAUCUCUAAAUAGGUUUAAGGUCUUUUUAGUACGAAAGGGUUGAUUGAUCUUUGUUAGC